rnacentral:rRNA from 1 species
GACGAACGCUGGCGGCGUGCCUAAUACAUGCAAGUAGAACGCUGAAGAGAGGAGCUUGCUCUUCUUGGAUGAGUUGCGAACGGGUGAGUAACGCGUAGGUAACCUGCCUUGUAGCGGGGGAUAACUAUUGGAAACGAUAGCUAAUACCGCAUAACAAUGGAUGACACAUGUCAUUUAUUUGAAAGGGGCAAUUGCUCCACUACAAGAUGGACCUGCGUUGUAUUAGCUAGUAGGUGAGGUAACGGCUCACCUAGGCGAGGAUACAUAGCCGACCUGAGAGGGGGAUCGGCCACACUGGGACGGAGACACGGCCCAGACUCCUGCGGGUGGGAGCAGUAGGGAAUCUUCGGCAAAGGGGGCAAUCCUGACCGAGCAACGCCGGGUGAGUGAAGAAGGUUUUCGGAUCGUAAAGGUCAGUUAUAAGUCAAGGACGAGUGUCAGAGUUGAAAGUUAACAUUGUGACGGUAGCUUAACAGAAAGGGACGGCUAACUACGUG